rnacentral:lncRNA from 1 species
AAAGAAAAUGUGUGUGUGUGUGUCUGUGUGUCUGUGUGUGUAUCUCUGUGUGUGUCUCCAUGAGUGUUUGUGUGUGUGUGUGUAUCUCUAUGUGUAUCUGCAUGUGUGUCUGUGUGUGCCUCUGUGUGUCUGUGUAUGUAUCUCUGUGUGUGUCUGUAUGUGUGUCUGUGUGUGUGUGUGUCUGUGUGUGUAUCUCUGUGUGUGUCUGCAUGUGUGUCUGUGUGUGUGUCUGUGUGUGUCUGUGUAUGUAUCUCUGUGUGUGUCUGUAUGUGUGUCUGUGUGUGUCUGUGUGUGUAUCUCUGUGUGUGCAUGUGUGCCUGUGUGUGUCUGUGUAUCUCUGUGUGUGUCUGUAUGUGUGUCUGUGUGUGUGUCUGUGUGUGUAUAUCUGUGUGUGUCUGUGUGUGUAUCUCUGUGUGUGCAUGUGUGUCUGUGUGUGCCUGUGUGUGUGUCUGUGUAUCUCUGUGUGUGUCUGUGUGUGUAUCUCUAUGUGUGUCUGCAUGUGUGUGUGUAUCUGUGUGUGUGUCUGUAUGUGUGCCUGUGUGUGUCUGUGUGUGUAUCUCUGUGUGUCUGUGUGUGUAUCUCUGUAUGUGUCUGCAUGUGUGUUUGUGUGUGCCUCUGUGUGUGCCUGUGUGUAUCUGUGUGUCUCUGCAUGUUUGUCUGUGUGUGCCUGUGUGUGUGCCUGUGUGUGUGUCUGUGUAUCUCUGUGUGUGUCUGUAUGUGUGUCUGUGUGUGUGUCUGUAUGUGUGUUUGUGUGUGCCUCUGUGUGUAUCUGUGUGUCUCUGCAUGUGUGUCUGUGUGUGCCUGUGUGUGUGUCUGUGUAUCUCUGUGUGUGUAUCUCUGUGUGUGUCUGUGUGUGUAUCUCUGUGUGUCUCUGCAUGUGUGUCUGUGUGUGCCUGUGUGUGUGUCUGUGUGUGUAUGCCUGUGUCUGUGUGUAUGUGUCUGUGUGUAUCUCCUUGCUGGUGCCCGGAUCCUACUCCUGUCUUUGACUUCUAGGACUUGGUUCCAUCAGUAAAAUCAUUGUAUGUUCUUUCAAAACUUGGGUAUAUUUUUCUCUCAUUAUAAAAACAGACACAGAC